GGUUAAGCGACUAAGCGUACACGGUGGAUGCCCUGGCAGUCAGAGGCGAUGAAGGACGUGCUAAUCUGCGAUAAGCGUCGGUAAGGUGAUAUGAACCGUUAUAACCGGCGAUUUCCGAAUGGGGAAACCCAGUGUGUUUCGACACACUAUCAUUAACUGAAUCCAUAGGUUAAUGAGGCGAACCGGGGGAACUGAAACAUCUAAGUACCCCGAGGAAAAGAAAUCAACCGAGAUUCCCCCAGUAGCGGCGAGCGAACGGGGAGGAGCCCAGAGCCUGAAUCAGCGUGUGUGUUAGUGGAAGCGUCUGGAAAGGCGCGCGAUACAGGGUGACAGCCCCGUACACAAAAAUGCACAUACUGUGAGCUCGAUGAGUAGGGCGGGACACGUGGUAUCCUGUCUGAAUAUGGGGGGACCAUCCUCCAAGGCUAAAUACUCCUGACUGACCGAUAGUGAACCAGUACCGUGAGGGAAAGGCGAAAAGAACCCCGGCGAGGGGAGUGAAAAAGAACCUGAAACCGUGUACGUACAAGCAGUGGGAGCACGCUUAGGCGUGUGACUGCGUACCUUUUGUAUAAUGGGUCAGCGACUUAUAUUCUGUAGCAAGGUUAACCGAAUAGGGGAGCCGAAGGGAAACCGAGUCUUAACUGGGCGUUAAGUUGCAGGGUAUAGACCCGAAACCCGGUGAUCUAGCCAUGGGCAGGUUGAAGGUUGGGUAACACUAACUGGAGGACCGAACCGACUAAUGUUGAAAAAUUAGCGGAUGACUUGUGGCUGGGGGUGAAAGGCCAAUCAAACCGGGAGAUAGCUGGUUCUCCCCGAAAGCUAUUUAGGUAGCGCCUCGUGAAUUCAUCUCCGGGGGUAGAGCACUGUUUCGGCAAGGGGGUCAUCCCGACUUACCAACCCGAUGCAAACUGCGAAUACCGGAGAAUGUUAUCACGGGAGACACACGGCGGGUGCUAACGUCCGUCGUGAAGAGGGAAACAACCCAGACCGCCAGCUAAGGUCCCAAAGUCAUGGUUAAGUGGGAAACGAUGUGGGAAGGCCCAGACAGCCAGGAUGUUGGCUUAGAAGCAGCCAUCAUUUAAAGAAAGCGUAAUAGCUCACUGGUCGAGUCGGCCUGCGCGGAAGAUGUAACGGGGCUAAACCAUGCACCGAAGCUGCGGCAGCGACGCUGAUGCGUUGUUGGGUAGGGGAGCGUUCUGUAAGCCUGCGAAGGUGUGCUGUGAGGCAUGCUGGAGGUAUCAGAAGUGCGAAUGCUGACAUAAGUAACGAUAAAGCGGGUGAAAAGCCCGCUCGCCGGAAGACCAAGGGUUCCUGUCCAACGUUAAUCGGGGCAGGGUGAGUCGACCCCUAAGGCGAGGCCGAAAGGCGUAGUCGAUGGGAAACAGGUUAAUAUUCCUGUACUUGGUGUUACUGCGAAGGGGGGACGGAGAAGGCUAUGUUGGCCGGGCGACGGUUGUCCCGGUUUAAGCGUGUAGGCUGGUUUUCCAGGCAAAUCCGGAUAAUCAAGGCUGAGGCGUGAUGACGAGGCACUACGGUGCUGAAGCAACAAAUGCCCUGCUUCCAGGAAAAGCCUCUAAGCAUCAGGUAACAUCAAAUCGUACCCCAAACCGACACAGGUGGUCAGGUAGAGAAUACCAAGGCGCUUGAGAGAACUCGGGUGAAGGAACUAGGCAAAAUGGUGCCGUAACUUCGGGAGAAGGCACGCUGAUAUGUAGGUGAAGUCCCUCGCGGAUGGAGCUGAAAUCAGUCGAAGAUACCAGCUGGCUGCAACUGUUUAUUAAAAACACAGCACUGUGCAAACACGAAAGUGGACGUAUACGGUGUGACGCCUGCCCGGUGCCGGAAGGUUAAUUGAUGGGGUUAGCGCAAGGAGAAGCUCUUGAUCGAAGCCCCGGUAAACGGCGGCCGUAACUAUAACGGUCCUAAGGUAGCGAAAUUCCUUGUCGGGUAAGUUCCGACCUGCACGAAUGGCGUAAUGAUGGCCAGGCUGUCUCCACCCGAGACUCAGUGAAAUUGAACUCGCUGUGAAGAUGCAGUGUACCCGCGGCAAGACGGAAAGACCCCGUGAACCUUUACUAUAGCUUGACACUGAACAUUGAGCCUUGAUGUGUAGGAUAGGUGGGAGGCUUUGAAGUGUGGACGCCAGUCUGCAUGGAGCCGACCUUGAAAUACCACCCUUUAAUGUUUGAUGUUCUAACGUUGACCCGUUACCGGGGUUGCGGACAGUGUCUGGUGGGUAGUUUGACUGGGGCGGUCUCCUCCUAAAGCGUAACGGAGGAGCACGAAGGUUGGCUAAUCCUGGUCGGACAUCAGGAGGUUAGUGCAAUGGCAUAAGCUAGCUUGACUGCGAGCGUGACGGCGCGAGCAGGUGCGAAAGCAGGUCAUAGUGAUCCGGUGGUUCUGAAUGGAAGGGCCAUCGCUCAACGGAUAAAAGGUACUCCGGGGAUAACAGGCUGAUACCGCCCAAGAGUUCAUAUCGACGGCGGUGUUUGGCACCUCGAUGUCGGCUCAUCACAUCCUGGGGCUGAAGUAGGUCCCAAGGGUAUGGCUGUUCGCCAUUUAAAGUGGUACGCGAGCUGGGUUUAGAACGUCGUGAGACAGUUCGGUCCCUAUCUGCCGUGGGCGCUGGAGAAUUGAGGGGGGCUGCUCCUAGUACGAGAGGACCGGAGUGGACGCAUCACUGGUGUUCGGGUUGUCAUGCCAAUGGCACUGCCCGGUAGCUAAAUGCGGAAGAGAUAAGUGCUGAAAGCAUCUAAGCACGAAACUUGCCCCGAGAUGAGUUCUCCCUGAGACUUUAAGUCUCCUGAAGGAACGUUGAAGACGACGACGUUGAUAGGCCGGGUGUGUAAGCGCAGCGAUGCGUUGAGCUAACCGGUACUAAUGAACCGUGAGGCUUAACCUU
rnacentral:rRNA from 1 species